AUUGAACGCUGGCGGCAUGCUUACACAUGCAAGUCGAACGGCAGCACGGGUGCUUGCACCUGGUGGCGCGUGGCGAACGGGUGAGUAAUACAUCGGAACAUGUCCUGUAGUGGGGGAUAGCCCGGCGAAAGCCGGAUUAAUACCGCAUACGAUCUACGGAUGAAAGCGGGGGACCUUCGGGCCUCGCGCUAUAGGGUUGGCCGAUGGCUGAUUAGCUAGUUGGUGGGGUAAAGGCCUACCAAGGCGACGAUCAGUAGCUGGUCUGAGAGGACGACCAGCCACACUGGGACUGAGACACGGCCCAGACUCCUACGGGAGGCAGCAGUGGGGAAUUUUGGACAAUGGGCGAAAGCCUGAUCCAGCAAUGCCGCGUGUGUGAAGAAGGCCUUCGGGUUGUAAAGCACUUUUGUCCGGAAAGAAAUCCUUGGCUCUAAUACAGUCGGGGGAUGACGGUACCGGAAGAAUAAGCACCGGCUAACUACGUG
rnacentral:rRNA from 1 species